AAUCAACGCUGGCGGCGUGCCUCAGACAUGCAAGUCGAACGCGAAAAUCCCCUUCGGGGGAUGAGUAGAGUGGCGCACGGGUGAGUAACACGUAGGUAAUCUACCUUUGGGUGGGGAAUAACAGCCGGAAACGGCUGCUAAUACCGCAUAAUGCAGCGGCUCGACAUCGAGACAGUUGUUAAAGCGGGGGAUCUUCGGACCUCGCGCCUAAAGAGGAGCCUGCGGCAGAUAGCUAGUUGGCAGGGUAAUGGCCUACCAAGGCGACGAUCUGUAGCCGGCCUGAGAGGGCGGUCGGCCACACUGACACUGACAUAUGGGUCAGACUCCUACGGAGGCAGCAGUCGGGAAUUUUGGGCAAUGGGCGCAAGCCUGACCCAGCAACGCCGCGUGAAGGAUGAAAUCCCUCGGGAUGUAAACUUCGCAAGAAUGGGAAGAAUAAGUGGGGGACAAGUACCCCCA
rnacentral:rRNA from 1 species